rnacentral:rRNA from 1 species
AGUCGAGCGAGCAAGUUAAAGGAAUACUUCGGUAGGAAUUUAAUAGCGCGAGCGGCGGAUGGGUGAGUAACACGUGGGCAACCUGCCCUUUAGCUUGGGAUACCACUUGGAAACAGGUGCUAAUACCAAAUAAGAAGUAAGAGCGCAUGCUCAAGCUAUGAAAGGCGGCUUUCGAGCUGUCACUAAAGGAUGGGCCCGCGGUGCAUUAGCUAGUUGGUAAGGUAACGGCUUACCAAGGCAAUGAUGCAUAGCCGAGUUGAGAGACUGAUCGGCCACAUUGGGACUGAGACACGGCCCAAACUCCUACGGGAGGCAGCAGUAGGGAAUCUUCCACAAUGGACGCAAGUCUGAUGGAGCAACGCCGCGUGAGUGAAGAAGGUUUUCGGAUCGUAAAGCUCUGUUGUUGGUGAAGAAGGACAUGGAUAGUAACUGAUCUAUGUUUGACGGUAAUCAACCAGAAAGUCACGGCUAACUACGUGCCAGCAGCCGCGGUAAUACGUAGGUGGCAAGCGUUGUCCGGAUUUAUUGGGCGUAAAGCGAACGCAGGCGGGAGAACAAGUCAGCUGUGAAAGCCCUCGGCUUAACCGAGGAACGGCAACUGAAACUGUUUUUCUUGAGUGCAGAAGAGGAGAGUGGAACUCCAUGUGUAGCGGUGAAAUGCGUAGAUAUAUGGAAGAACACCAGUGGCGAAGGCGGCUCUCUGGUCUGUAACUGACGCUGAGGUUCGAAAGCAUGGGUAGCGAACAGGAUUAGAUACCCUGGUAGUCCAUGCCGUAAACGAUGAGUGCUAAGUGUUGGGAGGUUUCCGCCUCUCAGUGCUGCAGCUAACGCAUUAAGCACUCCGCCUGGGGAGUACGACCGCAAGGUUAAAACUCAAAGGAAUUGAC